rnacentral:tRNA from 1 species
GGGCAAUUGGCAGAGUGGUCAAAUGCAACGGUCCGCAAAACCGUCAAGUCGUAGGUUCAAAUCCUACAUUGCCCUC